AAGGGCAGGCGGCGAAGCAAGGCCGCUGUGCGCAGUUCCCCACGAGAUUAACUUAGCUAUAGCGUUGUCUUCGUGACGGAAAGGCGCAGCAUGUGAACACACCUUAAUCCUUCAUUAUUCCGCUAAUCUGCAUCAGAUCUGCGCGUUCAGCAAGUUUUCUGUGUCGAAAGCAGAUGUGGUGUCCUCAGAUGUCGUACUUUCUCUUAUUUUCACUGUACUCCGCAAACUUAGUGGCAGGUAAUAUGAAAGAAGCUGGCAUUCAUGAAAAUGAAGAUAAAACUCACGUAAUUCAAUUCCAUUCAAACCCGGAUGCAUACCUGGGAUGGCGGACAUAUGACGACGACUCGAUCUGGUUCACCCUGAACUGCAUGAAGCUGAGCGCCGAGAAAUACUGCGGCUUCGGUCUCACCAAACCGGGCCUUUCCGCCGGCAAGACGAAGAACAUGUUCAACUCGGACAUCUACACGGCCCACGGCGACACAGUCGACGACAGGUUCGGCGACUCCAUCACCAACAAGC